CAGAACUCAGACUUUUGUGAACAUCGAAAGCCACCAUGAAUCGUUUGGCAUUUGCUCUCAUUCUCCUUGUUGUAGUAGCAGGAGUUAUUGGUAACAGAGAUUUAACAGAAGAACAAAUCAUAAAAUGUGGAGCACAUCUACAAGGAGUUUGUUUAAAAGGUUUCGAAUGCCAUCCAAGUUGGAAUCGAAUGAGUGGAAACUGCCCUUCUUUUCACAGGUGCUGCAUACGUUAACUGACGUGAUUCCAGAGACAGAAUAUGAUGAUAGACAAAUGGGUCUGAAACUGAUAAAAUAUAUAUUAUUGGCAACAGUUAUUGUGCUUAGUUUUUCCCUCUUGCUUUAUAAAAGCUACUACAUUUAAGGCAAAGAUUAACACUGUAAAAUCAAAUUCAGCUGCCAUUAAUGUGAUUUAGAAUAAAUAACUGAAAUCCAAAUAUGGCUGUCUAGUUUCAACUCAGAUCAUUCAAUGUAAAUAAUGAUCAUUCUGAUAUCCAAAUAUAGUAUUGCUUUUUAACUCUUGUUUAUAGACCUGUUUGCUAAUAAAACUGCUCAUUUAGCACCACA